rnacentral:rRNA from 1 species
UACGAAGGGGGCUAGCGUUGUUCGGAAUUACUGGGCGUAAAGCGCGCGCAGGCGGUCCUUCAAGUCAGAGGUGAAAGCCCAGAGCUCAACUCUGGAACGGCCUUUGAGACUAGAGGACUUGGGUACGGGAGAGGUGAGUGGAAUUCCGAGUGUAGAGGUGAAAAUUCGUAGAUAUUCGGAAGAACACCAGUGGCGAAGGCGGCUCACUGGUCCGGUACUGACGCUGAGGUGCGAAAGCGUGGGGAGCAAACAGG